GCGAGGCGGCAUCGCCUUGCUGAGAAACACGGUGCAAGCUGUGGCUUUGGGAUGGGCCUGCGGCGCAUUAGCUAGUUGGUGGGGUAACGGCUCACCAAGGCGACGAUGCGUAGCCGACCUGAGAGGGUGAACGGCCACACUGGGACUGAGACACGGCCCAGACUCCUACGGGAGGCAGCAGUAGGGAAUCUUCCACAAUGGGCGCAAGCCUGAUGGAGCAACGCCGCGUGAGUGAGGAAGGCUUUCGGGUCGUAAAGCUCUGUUGCCAGGGAAGAAUAAGGGCCAGUUAACUGCUGGUUCGAUGACGGUACCUGAGAAGAAAGCCCCGGCUAACUACGUGCCAGCAGCCGCGGUAAUACGUAGGGGGCAAGCGUUGUCCGGAAUUAUUGGGCGUAAAGCGCGCGCAGGCGGUCUUUUAAGUCUGGUGUCUAAGUGCGGGGCUCAACCCCGUGAUGCACUGGAAACUGGGAGACUUGAGUGCAGAAGAGGAGAGCGGAAUUCCACGUGUAGCGGUGAAAUGCGUAGAGAUGUGGAGGAACACCAGUGGCGAAGGCGGCUCUCUGGACUGUAACUGACGCUGAGGCGCGAAAGCGUGGGGAGCAAACAGGAUUAGAUACCCUGGUAGUCCACGCCGUAAACGAUGAGUGCUAGGUGUUGGGGGGGUCCACCCCUCGGUGCCGAAGUUAACACAUUAAGCACUCCGCCUGGGGAGUACGGUCGCAAGACUGAAACUCAAAGGAAUUGACGGGGACCCGCACAAGCAGUGGAGUAUGUGGUUUAAUUCGAAGCAACGCGAAGAACCUUACCAGGUCUUGACAUCCCUCUGACCGGUCUAGAGAUAGGCCUUUCCUUCGGGACAGAGGAGACAGGUGGUGCAUGGUUGUCGUCAGCUCGUGUCGUGAGAUGUUGGGUUAAGUCCCGCAACGAGCGCAACCCUUGGAUUUAGUUGCCAGCACUUCGGGUGGGCACUCUAGAUCGACUGCCGGUGACAAACCGGAGGAAGGCGGGGAUGACGUCAAAUCAUCAUGCCCCUUAUGACCUGGGCUACACACGUACUACAAUGGCCGGUACAACGGGCAGCGAAGUCGCGAGACGGAGCCAAUCCUACCAAAGCCGGUCUCAGUUCGGAUUGCAGGCUGCAACUCGCCUGCAUGAAGUCGGAAUUGCUAGUAAUCGCGGAUCACAUGCCGGGG
rnacentral:rRNA from 1 species